AGGGCGCAUGGUGAAUGCCUUGGCAUCAGGAGCCGAUGAAGGACGUGAUAAGCUGCGAUAAGCUUCGGGUAGGCGCACAUAGCCAGUGAUCCGGAGAUUUCCGAAUGUGGGAACACACAUGGGAAACCCCAUGUAUCGUAUAGUGAAUACAUAGCUAUACGAGGGUAAACCUAGGGAACUGAAACAUCUAAGUACCUAGAGGAAGAGAAAGAAAAAUCGAUUUCCUAAGUAGCGGCGAGCGAAAGGGAAAUAGCCCAAACCAAAGAUUUAUCUUUGGGGUUGCGGACAGAGCAUUAACGAGAAGUCGUAACUAACCGAACACAACUGGAAAGUUGGACCGUAGGAGGUAAUAGUCCUGUAGGUGAAAGUUAAGAUAAUCAAGCUCUGAUCCAGAGUACCACGAGACACGUGAAACCUUGUGGGAAGCAGGGAGGACCACCUCCCAAGGCUAAAUACUACCUGAUGACCGAUAGUGAAGCAGUACCGUGAGGGAAAGGUGAAAAGAACCCCGGGAGGGGAGUGAAAUAGAACCUGAAACCGUGUGCCUACAACCGGUCAAAGCCCCAUAUGAGGGUGAUGACGUGCUUUUUGUAGAACGAGCCAACGAGUUACGGUAUGUAGCAAGGUUAAGUACUUAAGGUACGGAGCCGAAGGGAAACCGAGUCUUAAUAGGGCGACUAGUUGCAUGCCGUAGACCCGAAACCGGGUGACCUAUCCAUGGCCAGGUUGAAGCGAGGGUAAAACUUCGUGGAGGACCGAACCACGUUGCUGUUGAAAAAGCAUGGGAUGAGCUGUGGAUAGCGGAGAAAUUCCAAUCGAACUCGGAGAUAGCUGGUUCUCCCCGAAAUAGCUUUAGGGCUAGCGUCGGAUAUGUGUAGUGGAGGUAGAGCACUGAAUGGGCUAGGGGGCAUAUCGCUUACCGAACCUUAUCAAACUCCGAAUGCCAUAUACAUUUAGUCCGGCAGUCAGACUACGAAUGAUAAGAUCCGUGGUCAAAAGGGAAACAGCCCAGAUCGUCAGCUAAGGUCCCAAAGUGUAAGUUAAGUGGAAAAGGAUGUGGGAUUUCUAAGACAACUAGGAUGUUGGCUUAGAAGCAGCCACUCAUUUAAAGAGUGCGUAAUAGCUCACUAGUCGAGAGAUCCUGCGCCGAAAAUGUCCGGGGCUCAAACUUACCACCGAAGCUACGGGCUUGCGUAAGCAAGCGGUAGGGGAGCGUCGUAAUCGGGCUGAAGUCGUACCGUAAGGAGCGGUGGACUGAUUACGAGUGAGAAUGUUGGCAUUAGUAGCGAGAUGUAGGUGAGAAUCCUACAGGCCGAAUAUCUAAGGUUUCCUCAGGAAGGCUCGUCCGCUGAGGGUUAGUCGGGACCUAAGCCGAGGCCGAAAGGCGUAGGCGAUGGACAAUCGGUUGAUAUUCCGAUACCACUACCAUCGUUAUUAUCGAGGGUGUGACGGAGAAGGAUAGUGUGUGCUAGCGAUUGGAAAUGCUAGUCUAAGCGUUUAGGGAGUUACGGUAGGCAAAUCCGCUGUAACAAUUCUGAGGCGUGAUGGGGAAGGCCAUAUAGGCCGAAGUACAUGAUUCCAUGCUUCCAAGAAAAGCAUCUAGAGAGAGAAGUAGUGCCCGUACCGCAAACCGACACAGGUAGAUGAGGAGAGAAUCCUAAGGCCGGCGGAAGAAUUGCAGUUAAGGAACUAGGCAAAUUGACCCCGUAAGUUCGCGAGAAGGGGUGCCUGCGAGAGCAGGCCGCAGAGAAUAGGCCCAAGCAACUGUUUAGCAAAAACACAGGUCUCUGCUAAAGCGUAAGCUGAUGUAUAGGGGCUGACGCCUGCCCGGUGCUGGAAGGUUAAGGGGAACACUUAGCGCAAGCGAAGGUGUGAACUUAAGCCCCAGUAAACGGCGGCCGUAACUAUAACGGUCCUAAGGUAGCGAAAUUCCUUGUCAGGUAAGUUCUGACCCGCACGAAUGGCGUAAUGACUUGGGCACUGUCUCAACUGUGAAUCCGGCGAAGUUGUAGUGCGAGUGAAGAUGCUCGCUACCCGCGAUUGGACGGAAAGACCCCGUAGAGCUUUACUGUAGCUUAGCAUUGAAUUCCGGUAUUGUCUGUACAGGAUAGGUGGGAGACUGGGAAAUCAGGGCGUCAGCCUUGAUGGAGUCGUCCUUGGGAUACCACCCUGACAGUACUGAGGUUCUAACUGGAUGCCAUGAAUCUGGUGACAGGACAUUGUUAGGUGGGCAGUUUGACUGGGGCGGUCGCCUCCUAAAAAGUAACGGAGGCGUUCAAAGGUUCGCUCAGCUUGAACGGAAAUCAAGCAAAAG
rnacentral:rRNA from 1 species